GAUGAAGAACGCAGCGAAAUGCGAUAAGUAGUGUGAAUUGCAGAAUUCAGUGAAUCAUCGAAUCUUUGAACGCACAUUGCGCCCCUUGGUAUUCCAUGGGGCAUGCCUGUUCGAGCGUCAUUUGUACCUUCAAGCUUUGCUUGGUGUUGGGUGUUUGUCUCGCCUUUGCGUGUAGACUCGCCUUAAAAUAAUUGGCAGCCGGCGUAUUGAUUUCGGAGCGCAGUACAUCUCGCGCUUUGCACUCAUAACGACAGCGUCCAAAAGUACAUUUUACACUCUUGACCUCGGAUCAGGUAGGGAUACCCGCUGAACUUAAGCAUAUCAAUAAGAGGAGGA
rnacentral:misc_RNA from 1 species